rnacentral:lncRNA from 1 species
CGAGCAAUAAGAUGACAACAAAAGCACAGCAGACUCAAAGCGACACCAACAUUGAUUUGUUGACAGUAAACAAUCCAAAAUUAGCUACUCUGUUAAUGUGCAACAAUUCCAUUUUUUUUAUAUUUCUAUUGUUAUUUUGGGAUGAGGGUUAAACCUGUUUGUGACAUGUAAACAAUGAUAAUACGGCUGUUAUCCCAUUUGGUUUAUUUCCAAGAUUGG